rnacentral:rRNA from 1 species
UACGAAGGGGGCUAGCGUUGUUCGGAAUUACUGGGCGUAAAGGGCGCGUAGGCGGGCGACUAAGUCAGGGGUGAAAUCCCAAGGCUCAACCUUGGAACUGCCUUUGAUACUGGUUGUCUUGAGUCCGGGAGAGGUGAGUGGAACUGCGAGUGUAGAGGUGAAAUUCGUAGAUAUUCGCAAGAACACCAGUGGCGAAGGCGGCUCACUGGCCCGGAACUGACGCUGAGGCGCGAAAGCGUGGGGAGCAAACAGG